rnacentral:rRNA from 1 species
CCCAGCUUGCUGGGUGGAUUAGUGGCGAACGGGUGAGUAACACGUGAGUAACCUGCCCUUCACUCUGGGAUAACUCCGGGAAACCGGUGCUAAUACKGGAUAUGACUCCAACCUGCAUGGGUAUGGGGUGGAAAGAUUUAUCGGUGGAGGAUGGACUCGCGGCCUAUCAGCUUGUUGGUGGGGURAUGGCCUACCAAGGCGACGACGGGUAGCCGGCCUGAGAGGGUGACCGGCCACACUGGGACUGAGACACGGCCCAGACUCCUACGGGAGGMAGCAGKGGGGAAUAUUGCACAAUGSGCGAAAGCCUGAUGCAKCGACGCCGCGUGAGGRAUGACGGCCUUCGGGUUGUAAACCUCUUUCAGCUCUGACGAAGCCUUCGGGUGACGGUAGGAGCAGAASAAGCMCCGGCUAACUACGUGCCAGCAGCCGCGGKAAUACGUAGGGUGCGAGCGUUGUCCGGAAUUAUUGGGCGUAAAKAGCUUGUAGGCGGUUUGUCGCGUCUGCUGUGAAAGCCCGGGGCUUAACCCCGGGUCUGCAGYGKGUACGGKCAGGCUAGARUGUGGUAGGGGAGACUGGAAUUCCUGGUGUAGCGGUGGAAUGSGCANAUWUMAGGAGGAACACCGAUGGCGAANGCAGGUCUCUGGGCCACUACUGACGCUGAGAAGCGAAAGCKUGGGGAGCGAACAGGAUUARAUACCCUGGUAGUCCMCSCCGUAAACGUUGGGCSCUAGGUGUGGGUCCCAUUCCACGGGGUCCGUGCCGCA